AUAAAGUCAACUGUAUAAACAUCAGUUAUAUACAACUGAGCACAUUCUAAUUUUAUACUUUAGUUACUUUAUUUGUUACUUUAAAAAAAAUGAUGUUUCUGAAGAGUAAUGGAUUUUUUUUCGCCAUAGUUUUCAUCGUUUCUUUAUUAAUCGAAAACAAUGCUGCUGAUGCAGAGAAACUUCACAGGAAGAAGAAAGUUAAAGACGAAAAAAAAGGCAACAGCUCAAUGACAGUAGGAGAUAUUGGUUUGGGUGCAACUCAUGCAGUAAGAGACUUAGUACAUGGUCUCCUAAAUUUUGGUA